rnacentral:rRNA from 1 species
CCUACGGGGGGCAGCAGUGGGGAAUAUUGCACAAUGGGGGCAACCCUGAUGCAGCGACGCCGCGUGAGUGAAGAAGGAUUUCGGUAUGUAAAGCUCUAUCAGCAGGGAAGAAAAUGAUGGUACCUGUUCCAGAAGCCCCGGCUAAAUACGUGCCAGCAGCCGCGGUAAUACGUAGGGGGCAAGCGUUAUCCGGAUUUACUGGGUGUAAAGGGAGCGUAGACGGCAGCACAAGUCUGGAGUGAAAUGCCGGGGCUUAACCCCGGAACUGCUUUGGAAACUGGGCAGCUAGAGUGCAGGAGAGGUAAGUGGAAUUCCUGGUGUAGCGGUGAAAUGCGUAGAUAUCAGGAGGAACACCAGUGGCGAAGGCGGCUUACUGGACUGAAACUGACGUUGAGGCUCGAAAGCGUGGGGAGCAAACAGGAUUAGAUACCCUUGUAGUC